rnacentral:lncRNA from 1 species
UGCCUUUCUUCUGUUUCUUUUCAGAGGGAAGGUUGCGUGAUACAAUAAAAAUAACGACUUGCAAGAGAAGGAGUGGACACUCAGGAGAAGAAGAGCAUGUUGUUUCCUUCUCUUUUCUGAUUGGCUUAAAAUUACUACCUUAAAAUCUUUUUUAAAGGUCUUGAAAGAGGGAAUUUAUGUACUAAUUGUAGGCUCCAUUCAAUUGUUUAUCAUAAUUAGCGGAUACUUAUUAAUUACAAUAUAUUUUUCAUAAUGGUAACGUGUAGUGCAGUGAAUUGUAAUAAUAGAUCAACUUCGAGUUAAGAGUCUCCAGGCUUAUCCCCCAUGAAAAUGUUUAAUUUUCCAAAAUCAAUCCAUCGAAGGAAGUUGUGGAUCAAUGACAUCAUACGUGCGAAUGGGUAUCCCGCCAAAGACUCAAGAGUUUGCUUAGAUGUCACUGGACUGCAUAUUCAAUACUUAAAUUAUUCGAUUGAGGCUCUCUUUGAAGAAUCAAUGUUUCUGCGGAAGUCUCCCGAAGAACACUUAGCGUUUAGUACAUAAUGCAAUUCUUAUUUGUUUGAACAUUCGAAGAUAAAAAAUAAACGAAAGCUCCCGUUUAACCGAAACAAAAAAAAGUGGAAGUAUACAUGCAAAUGUGCAACGCAUGUCUUGAUUAUUGGUCACAUGUAAUUAUUUAAAUGUAUUAUUUCCUAAUAAUAGUAUUUAAGUUUA